rnacentral:lncRNA from 1 species
CCAUUACUAAAAAGUCAAGAAGCAACAGAUGCUGGUGAGGUUGCAGAGAAAUAAGAAUGCUUUUACAUUAUUGCUGGGAAUGUAAAUUAGUUCAACCAUUGUGGAAGACAGUAUAGCUAUUCCUCAAACAUCUAGAAACAGGAAUAACAUUUGAUCCAGCAAUCCCAUUCCUGGGUAUAUACCCAAAGAAAUAGAAAUCAUUCUAUUACAAAGAUACAUGCACACGUAUGUUCAUUGCAGCACUAUUUAUAAUUGCUGUAAUGGUUGAUCAGUCUUUUCUAGAGAUUGAUAUGAACAGAAUCUUAUGAUGUGUACUGUUUUAUGCCUGGCUUAUUUCACACAGCAGAAUGUGGUGUGAGUAAUCCAUAUUGCUGAAUGCAUCAUGAGCUCAUCUUUCUAAAUUGCUAAGGAGUAUGACAUUACAAACCUAUGUUUGUAAUUUAAAAAGAUGAUUCCUGACAUGGCUGAAUGUUUAACCUUAUUAGAAACUAUCAAACUGUUUUCAAAAGUAGUUGUACCAUUUUACAUUCAUAGCAGCAUCAUUUGUGUGAUUAUUGCUC